UGUUGUUGCUGCUGAUGGUGCUGCUGGUGGUCCUGUUGUUGCUGCUGCUGGUGCCAGCAGCAGCAACAACAGGACCACCAGCAGCACCACCAGCAGCA
rnacentral:pre_miRNA from 1 species